AAUCGACCCUGUGACAUUCUUCUGGACAAUGAGUCCCAUCAUCUCUCCACCAUGCACCUUGUGACUCCCUCCUCUGCUGACAACAGAUAACCACCUUUAACUCCUGUUUAGGUGGUCUUCUAUACGGACAUGCUUGACACUUGGUGCCAAAAUCUGGGCCAGGGGGACUCCUUCGUGAGACCGGCCCCCUGUCCUGGCCCUCAUUCCGUGAAGAGAUCCACCUGCGACCUCGGGUCCUCAGACCAGCCCAAGGAACAUCUCACCAAUUUCAAAUCGGAUCUCCUCGGCUUAGUGGCUGAAGACUGAUGCUGCCCGAUCGCCUCAGAAGCCCCUUGGACCAUCACAGAUGCCGAGCUUCGGGUAACUCUUACGGUGGAGGAUUCCCAGCCAUAUGAAGACACCCUAGCUGGACGAUCAGUCCUUGUCAAAAGUCUGACCCCUCAAACUCUACAGCCUCAAUGGACCAGACCCUACCCGGUCAUUUAUAGCACACCAACUGCCGUCCAUCUGCAGGACCCUCUCCAUUGGGUUCACCAUUCCAGAAUAAAGCCAUGCCCAUCAGACAGCCAGCUUGAUCUCUCCUCUUCCUCCUGGAAGCCACAAGAUUAGGCCGAGAGCCGAUCAGACAAACAACCUACAACCCUUAAGCUCCUGGCAGCGCCCAGCCAAGGCCAUGCUUCCUUGCAACACUCCUUCCAAAUGGCCAUCCCAGCAUGCUUCCAAGCAGGCUUCAUCCGUUCCUCUGGACCCUCAUCUCUUAAGACCUGCCGCCUAUAAAAAGGAUUAUAUCUUGAGACCCUAUCCUCUAAAAUUUUUUCCACACCCAAAACAAAAAAUCUCUGGGUCAAAAGUCUAAAACGCUUAGGCUGGCAACCAUCAGAUCCUUGCCCAUGGUGUCCUCAAGCCUACUCUCAUGAAAUGGACAACAGUACACGCAUAUGGGGCCAGUUCCACAUAUUUGGCAACCAGACCAGCAUCCAGGACAACACAAAGAUCUGCAAUCAGAACUAUUGAACUUCUCCAUUCAGACCGCCACUCACACCUAUGGGAAAAGGGUAAUGUAUCAUCGGCUUAGCAACAGGGAAUACUAUUCGUAUGAUGGAAAAUGGGGACAAAAGGCUUUGGUACAUAAAACAUUAUUCCUUCCUUGGCCUAAAAACUCAUCGCCACCUACAUUAAAGCUAAUAUGCCUG
rnacentral:lncRNA from 1 species